AAGGAACUUUAGAAGUUUUCCAGCGUGUUCCCCUCAGACCCACAGCCUCCCGAGCCUCAGCCAUCACCAUGUAAAUGCUAAUGAAUGACAAGCGCCACAGAGGACUUUCAUCUUACCAUUUGAAGAGGAAGUUGGCUCUGGACAUGGAACAAGGAUGGUUUCUGCCUUGCUUUGACACAACUAAUGGAGGCCACUGAAAUAAUCUUUCCCACUAGGAAGGCUGUCACAAGGAAAGAAAGAAUGAAGGUCCGCAACCAACACCAAGCUCUGAGAAGUUGACUUGGAUGAUGUUCUACCCAGCUCUCAUCUAAAGGAGUAGAGUCCCCAAGCCAGAGGAAGCUGUCAGAGAGCUUCUCAGCUGUGAAGAUUCUAUGAGGUCCCAAAGGUUAAUGAUGCCAGUUACAGAAGCUUGACAGAGCAAAAGGGGAAGGAUGUGUCACUUGGCUGUGUGGCUGGCUGAUCUUAGGGAAUGAGAAAGCAAAUGUGAUGGAGGUGACCAAGGGGUGACAAUGCUUCACCACCAUCAUGAAGAGCAUACAGGGGACUGGGGGUCAGAGGGAAGUGAGGAUAGGGA
ensembl:lncRNA LINC02162 long intergenic non-protein coding RNA 2162